CUCAUAAAUUAUGUAAUUUUAAAAUAUCAGUUAAGUUAUACAACAGCACAUAUCUUUUUUUUUUAGCUAUGAAAGUGGGUUUUCGUUGGGUAACCAUAUCAUUGAUUUUUAUUUCCUUAUCAAAAUUGCUCUAAGUAGAUUAGAAAUCUUGAGACAUGAGCUUGUACUAAUCUUGGUUUGGAGUGAAUAUUAAUUGUUUAAACUCCGUGCUUUUCUUUUAAAUAAAAGUAUUUUGGUUAGUUUAAGAGUCAUGAUAAAAUCAAGUAUAUCUUAUUUUGCAUUACUAUUAAUAUCACCCCUUGGCUUGUAUGUCAACGUAGAUUCACUAAAAUGUCUUCUAUUGCAUACAAAGCAAGAGUUGUUCAAACUCUUUACAGUGUUUGAGCUAAAUGUGUCUUAUGUAU
rnacentral:lncRNA from 1 species